CCUACGGGAGGCAGCAGUGGGGAAUAUUGGGCAAUGGGCGCAAGCCUGACCCAGCAACGCCGCGUGAAGGAAGAAGGCUUUCGGGUUGUAAACUUCUUUUAAGAGGGAAGAGCAGAAGACGGUACCUCUGGAAUAAGACACGGCUAACUACGUGCCAGCAGCCGCGGUAAUACGGAGGUGGCAAGCGUUGUCCGGAUUUACGGGGGGUAAAGGGCGUGCAGACGGGAAGACAAGUCAGAUGUGAAAUCCCGCGGCUCAACCGCGGAACUGCAUUUGAAACUGUUUUUCUUGAGUACCGGAGAGGUCAUCGGACUUCCUUGUGUCGCGGUGAACUGCGUAGAUAUCAGG
rnacentral:rRNA from 1 species